GGUUAAGCUUUGACUAAGCGUACACAGUGGAUGCACGGCGAUCCCAGAGGGCGAUGAAGGGCACUGUCUGCGAUAGCGCCCGGUAAGGUGAUAUGAACCGUUAUAUGGCGAUGCAGAUAGGGAAACCCAGUGUGACUCGUCACACUAUCAUUAACUGAAUCCAUACUGGAGUUAAUACUGGGCGAACCGGGGAGACACAAGAGCAUCUAAGUACCGAGGAAAGAAAUCGAAAGCGAGAUUUCCCCAGUAGCGGCGAGGCGAACGGGAGGAGCCAGAGCCUGAAUCAGCAUGUGUGUUGAGUGGAAGGCGUCACGGAAAGGCGCGCGCGUGCAGAAGUGACAGCCCGUACACCAAAAGCGCAUGCUGUAGGCUCGAUAGUAGGGGGCGGGACACGUAGUAUCCUGUCACCAAGAUAUAGAGGACCAUCCUCCAGGCUAAAUACUCUGACUGACCGAUAGUGAACCAGUACCCGUGAGGAAAGGCGAAAAGAACCCCGGCGAGGUGAAAAGAACCUGAAACCGUGUACGUACAGAAGCGGUAGGAGCCCCUGCAAAGCGAUUUCGCUUUGUAUGGUACAAAAAGCGUAACGGCAGCACUUUGAAUGACGGUUAACAGGCGCAAGCGACGAUUCAACGCAUACAAAGUCAAGCGAUGGGCAACUUCCAAGGGUAGGAGUGACUGCGUACCUUUUGUAUAAUGGAGCCAGCGACUUAUAUUCUGUAGCAAAGGUUAACCGAAUAGGAGGCCGGAGAGCCGAGUGUAACCGGAGGCGUUAAGUUGCGAGGUAUGGGCCCGAAGCCCGGUGAUCUAGCCAUGGGCGGGUUGAAGGUUGGGUAGCACUAGCUGGAGAGACCGGGCGACUAAUGCAUCUGUAGAUAACCUAUAGCUAAGUGAAAAAACCAAUCAAACCAGGGAGAUAGCUGGUUUCUCCCCGAAAGCUAUUUAGGUGGCGCCUCGUGAAUUAAAAUGUCUCCGGGAGUGAGAGCACUUUAUUUCGGCUGAGGCCGCAUCCCGGCUUACCCGGCCGAUGCAAACUGCGAAUACCGGAGAAUGUUAUCACAGGAAGACACACGGCAGGUGCUAACGUCCGUCACGUGAAGAGGAAACAGCAGACCGCCAGCUAAGGUCCCAAGAGUCAUGAGUUAGGAAGUGGGAAACGAUGUGGGAAGGCCCAGACAGCGGGGAUGUUGGCUUGGCUUGGCCAUCAUUUAAAAGCGUAAUAGCUCACUGGUCCGGAGUCGGCCUGCGCGGAAGUUCAGGGUUGGGGAUCGGUGGGGGCGUUCACCUUGGCCUGUGAAGGUGGCCUGUGAGGGUUGCUGGAGGUAUGGAAGUGCGAAUGCUUGGCAUAAGAAGUAACGAUAAAGAAGCGGGUAAAGCCCGCUCGCCGGAAGACCAAGGGUUUCCUGUCAGCGUUAAUCGGGGAGGGCAGAGGUGAGUCAUUGUAGGCGGGCCGAGGCGUAGUCGAUGGGAAACAGGUUAAUAUUCCCGUACUUGGUAUUACUGCGAAGAGGGGACGGAGGAGAAGGCUAUGUUGGCCGGGCGACGAGAUUUGUCCCAGUUUAAGCGUGUAGGUGUGUGUUCGAUAAAAUCAGUUCACUUGUAACACUGAGGCGUGACGACGAGGCACUACAGUGCUUUGAAGCAACAAAUACCCUACUUCGAGGGGAAAGAAGCGCACCUCUAAGCAUCAGGUAACAUCAAAUCGUACCCCAAACCGACACAGGUAGUCAGUGCCAGAGAGGCCACCAAGGCGCUUGAGAGGAACUCAGGUAGAGAGGGGCUAGGCAAAAUGGUGCCGUAACUUCCGGGAGAAGGCACGCUGACACGUAGGUGAAGUGAUUUUACUCAUGGAGCUGAAGUCAGUCAAAGAUACCAGCUGGCUGCAACUGUUUAUUAAAAGAAGCACAGCACUGGCCAAACACACGAAAGUAGACUACGUAUACAGUGUGGCUUGUAUACUGCCCGGUACCCGGAAAGUUGUGAGUAUUAAGUCAGCGCAAGCGAAGCUCUGAUCGAAGCGGUAAACGGCAGCCGCCAACUAUAACAAUUACCUAAGGUAGCGAAAUUCCUUAUCGGGUAGAGAUUCCGGCCUGCACGAAUAGCAUAGUAAGUGGCGAGCUGUCUCACACCCGAGACUCAGUGAAAUUGAACUCGCUGAAGAUGCAGUAUACCCGCAGCAAGACGGAAAGACCCCGUGAACCUUUACUAUAGCUUGACACUGAACAUUGAGCACCCGGUAAUGUAGAGAUAGGUAGGAGGAAGCUUUUGAAGUAUGGACGCCAGUCUGCAUGGAGCCGACAGCAAGAAAUACCACCCUUUAAUAUUUGAUAUUCUAACGUGGACCCGUGCAGGUUGCGAGACGAAGUGUCUAGUGGAAGCCAGAUUUGACUAGGGCGGUCUCCUCCUAAAGAGUAACGGAGGAGCACGAAAAGGUUGGCUAAUCACAGUCGGACAUCAGGAGGUUAAGGUGCAAUGGCAUAAGCCAGCUUGACUGCGAGCGGCGGCGGCGCGAGCGGAAGGUACGCUUAGGUCGCCAAUGAUCGAGUAGUUCUGAAUGGAAGGGCCAUCGCUCAACGGAUAAAGGUAUAAAGGGAUAACAGGCUGAUACCGCCCAAGAGUUCAUAUCGGCAGCGGUGUUUGGCACUAUCGAUGUCGGCUCAUACAUCCUGGGGCUGAAGUAGGUCCCAAGAGUAUGGCUGUUGUUCGCCAUUUAAAAUUGGUACGCAGGCUGGGUUUAGAACGUCGUGAGACAGUUCGGUCCCUAUCUGCCAAAUGAGCGCUGGAGGAGAACUGAGGGCUGCUCUCCUAGUACGAGGAAGAGGACCGGAGUGGACAUCACUGGUGUUCAGGUUGUCAUGCCCGUGGCACUGCCCGGUAGCUAAAUGCUGGAAAGAGAUAAAGAAGUGCUGAAAGCAUACAAGUACGAAACUUUAACACGAGAUGAGUUCUCCCUGGGGACACAGGUCUCUCCUGAAGGAACGUUGAAGACGACGACGUUGAUAGGCCGAAGAUUGUGGCAAGCGCAGCCGGUGCGUUGAAGCUAACCGGUACUAAUGAACCGUGAGGCUUAACACG
rnacentral:rRNA from 1 species